rnacentral:rRNA from 1 species
ACAAUAUACAAGGUGCUGCAUGGUUGUCGUCAGCUCGUGCCGUGAGGUGUCGGGUUAAGUCCCAUAACGAGCGCAACCCCUAUCAUUAGUUGCCAUCAGGUCAAGCUGGGGACGUCUAAGGGAACUGCCUACGCAAGUAGUGAGGAAGGCGGGGAUGACGUCAAAUCAGCACGGCCCUUACGUCCAGGGCUACACACGUGCUACAAUGGCCGAUACAGAGGGCAGCUACCUGGUGACAGGAUGCAAAUCUCCAAAGUCGGUCUCAGUUCGGAUCGGAGUCUGCAACCCGACUCCGUGAAGUUGGAUUCGCUAGUAAUCGCGCAUCAGCCAUGGCGCGGUGAAUACGUUCCCGGGCCUU